GGAGAGGUGGCCGAGUGGUCGAAGGCGCACGCUUGGAAAGCGUGUAAUGAGGUAACACUCAUUCGAGGGUUCGAAUCCCUCUCUCUCCUCCA
rnacentral:tRNA from 1 species